UACGUAGGGGGCAAGCGUUGUCCGGAAUUACUGGGCGUAAAGGGCGCGUAGGCGGCUCUGUUAGUCAGGCGUGAAAGUCCUGGGCUCAACCUGGGAACUGCGCUUGAUACGGCAGGUCUAGAGGAUGGAAGAGGGUCGCGGAAUUCCCAGUGUAGAGGUGAAAUUCGUAGAUAUUGGGAAGAACACCGGUGGCGAAGGCGGCGACCUGGUCCAUUACUGACGCUGAGGCGCGACAGCGUGGGGAGCAAACAGG
rnacentral:rRNA from 1 species